rnacentral:lncRNA from 1 species
UUCAACCUUAAGACUGACAUUGUAAAGGAGGCUUAUUUAUCAAAGAUUUUAGUAUAAGAAGAGCUAUAUGUAAAAUGAGAAUAAGUGCUCAUGAUCUUAUAUAUAGAAUUGAGAAAGAUAUAUAGAUAUAGUAAAAAAUACAUAGAGAGAAAUCAACGUCUAUGUCAUCACUGCUUAUCACAUGGAUCAAAUUCUAUUGAAGAUGAG